UGAAGAGUUUGAUCAUGGCUCAGAUUGAACGCUGGCGGCAGGCCUAACACAUGCAAGUCGAACGGUAACAGGAAGCAGCUUGCUGCUUUGCUGACGAGUGGCGGACGGGUGAGUAAUGUCUGGGAAACUGCCUGAUGGAGGGGGAUAACUACUGGAAACGGUGGCUAAUACCGCAUAACGUCGCAAGACCAAAGAGGGGGACCUUCGGGCCUCUUGCCAUCAGAUGUGCCCAGAUGGGAUUAGCUUGUUGGUGAGGUAACGGCUCACCAAGGCGACGAUCCCUAGCUGGUCUGAGAGGAUGACCAGCCACACUGGAACUGAGACACGGUCCAGACUCCUACGGGAGGCAGCAGUGGGGAAUAUUGCACAAUGGGCGCAAGCCUGAUGCAGCCAUGCCGCGUGUAUGAAGAAGGCCUUCGGGUUGUAAAGUACUUUCAGCGGGGAGGAAGGUGUUGUGGUUAAUAACCGCAGCAAUUGACGUUACCCGCAGAAGAAGCACCGGCUAACUCCGUGCCAGCAGCCGCGGUAAUACGGAGGGUGCAAGCGUUAAUCGGAAUUACUGGGCGUAAAGCGCACGCAGGCGGUCUGUCAAGUCGGAUGUGAAAUCCCCGGGCUCAACCUGGGAACUGCAUUCGAAACUGGCAGGCUUGAGUCUUGUAGAGGGGGGUAGAAUUCCAGGUGUAGCGGUGAAAUGCGUAGAGAUCUGGAGGAAUACCGGUGGCGAAGGCGGCCCCCUGGACAAAGACUGACGCUCAGGUGCGAAAGCGUGGGGAGCAAACAGGAUUAGAUACCCUGGUAGUCCACGCCGUAAACGAUGUCUACUUGGAGGUUGUGCCCUUGAGGCGUGGCUUCCGGAGCUAACGCGUUAAGUAGACCGCCUGGGGAGUACGGCCGCAAGGUUAAAACUCAAAUGAAUUGACGGGGGCCCGCACAAGCGGUGGAGCAUGUGGUUUAAUUCGAUGCAACGCGAAGAACCUUACCUGGUCUUGACAUCCACAGAAGAAUCCAGAGAUGGAUUUGUGCCUUCGGGAACUGUGAGACAGGUGCUGCAUGGCUGUCGUCAGCUCGUGUUGUGAAAUGUUGGGUUAAGUCCCGCAACGAGCGCAACCCUUAUCCUUUGUUGCCAGCGGUCCGGCCGGGAACUCAAAGGAGACUGCCAGUGAUAAACUGGAGGAAGGUGGGGAUGACGUCAAGUCAUCAUGGCCCUUACGACCAGGGCUACACACGUGCUACAAUGGCGCAUACAAAGAGAAGCGACCUCGCGAGAGCAAGCGGACCUCAUAAAGUGCGUCGUAGUCCGGAUUGGAGUCUGCAACUCGACUCCAUGAAGUCGGAAUCGCUAGUAAUCGUGGAUCAGAAUGCCACGGUGAAUACGUUCCCGGGCCUUGUACACACCGCCCGUCACACCAUGGGAGUGGGUUGCAAAAGAAGUAGGUAGCUUAACCUUCGGGAGGGCGCUUACCACUUUGUGAUUCAUGACUGGGGUGAAGUCGUAACAAGGUAACCGUAGGGGAACCUGC
rnacentral:rRNA from 1 species